GACGAACGCUGGCGGUGUGCUUCAUACAUGCAAGUCAAACGAUAAGGCCCUUCGGGGUACUUAAGUGGCGGACGGGUGAGUAACGCGUAGGGAAUCUGCCUUAAGGCAGGGGGUAACGUUGGGAAACUGACGCUAAUACCCUAUACGUGGCUAGCUGAGAUGCUUGUCAUUAAAUGUUCCGGCGCCUUAAGACGAGCCUGCGUGUGAUUAGCUAGUAGGUGGGGUAACGGCACACCUAGGCGACGAUCCCUAGCUGGUCUGAGAGGAUGACCAGCCACACUGGAACUGAGACACGGUCCAGACUCCUACGGGAGGCAGCAGUGGGGAAUAUUGCACAAUGGGCGCAAGCCUGAUGCAGCCAUGCCGCGUGGAUGAAGAAGGCCUUCGGGUUGUAAAGUACUUUCAGCGGGGAGGAAGGCGAUAAGGUUAAUAACUUUGUCGAUUGACGUUACCCGCAGAAGAAGCACCGGCUAACUCCGUGCCAGCCGCCGCGGUAA
rnacentral:rRNA from 1 species